UUUUGUAUCUCUUUGUAAAACAUAUAUGAAAAAUACAAGAAAAUGACGAAAGCGAAAAAUAUGACAACUCUAAAUUUUUGUUGUGACUGCUGUUUUCGGAACAUUCAAUAUACAGUGCUGCCAAGAUUUCAGGUUAAGCCCCGAUGCGUUUUUUUUGUCCAGUUAAGACCGGUGGUAAUAAAAAACACACCUAUUGAUAACACCUGAAAACUUACCUGAGAAUUUUUCUUACAAUGCCUGAGGUGCUCGCCGCCCAUGGAUUUGUGUAUGAACACAAAUUCGAAGGAGAAAUCGUGGUGAAAAUACCAAACAUAUGCAAUCGGCUCCGCGGUGAUUAUAGUUUCCAUACUAAUUUGAGCCGCCGUGGGACCCGUUUCGUAGUCAAGGUUGGACUCACUUCGGAGCCGAUUCGGACCGAGGUCGGACUCGUUUGCUUGAAGGGUUAUGUCAUUUUCUAUUUGGUUUUGAGAUUUUUGUGUAAGAAUCUCAGAUUUUUGCUUGCAAAUAGAAUAUGAAAUCUAGUUUUGUGAUUGUGUACGAAAUCUGUAGACACGGAGAAAAAUGAAUCUAGUAUUUUUUACUCCAUCUGACUAGUAAGAUAAUUAAAGUAAAAAGCCCUAGAUUUUUAUUAAAAUUUACCUUACGUAUUGAACAUUUAUUGGAUCCGUAAAGUAAUUUUAACAAGAAAAUUAUAGUAUGGACUGCCAGUUGCUCUUCAUUUUCAUACAAAAGUUGGGAAAAACAAAUGGCGCAAAAAAAGAAAUAAAAUUUUUUACUUUUGUAAAUUUCCCACUUUAUACAAGAAGUGGCCAUGUAGGUAUCUUAACUGCAUUACUCAAAAAGUGAAAAAGUACAGAAGUACAAAUUUUCAAACGUACUUAGUUUUUCUGAAUGGAAAUUUCAAAAACUUUGCAGUAAGCUUAGUUUUUAUAUACUCUUUUCCACAAAAUAUUGAAUUAGUGAGAAAAAUUUAUUAUUUUUGUAAUAAAGUGUUUUCACUAGAGCCGAAAUGAAAUAAUUUCGCAAAUUAUCUUAUUUCCAAUGUCAAAUCAUAUAGAAAAAAAUAUUUAACUUGCAAAAUUAUCUUAUUUGGGCUGUAGUGAAAACAGGCUAUAAUAACCUGGGGUCGAUCGAUUACGAUCAUACGAUAACGUUUUGACUAUUUCUGUCUCUAUUUAAUUACUAGAAAACGAUAGGGACACAUAGCAACCAUUCGUUAACGAACGUAUGCCGUAAUUCGACCCCUGUUUUCACUUCAGUCCGAAUGAGAUAAUUUCGCAAAUUAGGUCAGUUCGAAUUUCAAAUACAAUUCUUUUCUUUACGAUUCGACAUUCGAAAUGAGAUAAUUUGCGAAAUUAUCUCAUUUGUGCUUCAGUGAAAACAGUCUAUAAGCCUACAGAAUUCGGUCUAAAAUUUAGCCAAGCUAAAAUUUAUGGAUUUAACAAUUUCAGCCAAGCUGUGUGGAAUUUCUGCUAAGAAAUCAUAUUUUCGUUUCCAGCUUCACAUUUUCUUUGUCGUAAUGAAGAGAAGUCAAAAAUAGAUUUUAGAAAUUCCUAAUAAGGUAAAACAAAACCAAAAGGAAAUUUCCCUUUUUAAAUUGGGAAUUUUGAAAGAUCAUCCCUUGAACACUAUUUGACAAAAAUUCCUCGAAAUAAACAUCAAAAAUGUUUUCAGAGUUCCUGAUAGGUUGGAACUUGGAGCAAGAGUCGUUUUGUGUUUUGUUGAACCAUUUUUAUAACGUACCUAACCAUACUCUGUCCGAUAAAAAUUGGCAGUACAGGGAAGAUAGGACAUUUGCAUCUCACUCUGCUUCACGCCUUCUAAUGAAAUGACAGAGUAUAGCAGUCCAUAUAUAAUACAUAGAGGAAGAAAUACCUAGAGAACCGACAUCUGGGGGUUGUUCUCUUCGACCCUACAAGCUGCAAUGAGAGAAAAAACUCCACAAUGGCUAUAUGUGGUAGUUUCCCCGUGCAUUUUAAAUGGCACUAACACAUUCAACUGUGGAGUUUUGCUCAAUGCGCCCAGUGCGCAAUUGAGUUGAACAAAAAGAUUCGGUUAAUUCAAAAAUUGCAAAAUAAAAUUAAAUUUGCAGAAAAAUUUUUUUUUGACAUUUAAUCAAUGAAAAUAUAUUAAAUAUUACUUUUUAUUGCUUUUAGCAUAAAAGUCAAACAAUAGGUGUGUUUUUUUGUUUAUCUAUAUAGAUUUUGUGCAAAAAAACGACAUCGGGAUUUUUGAAAUCCAUGCAAACAUUUGGCACCACUGUACACAUACUUUGGCAGCUGUCUGUCAAAAAUGUUGAUUUUGUUUUUUUUUUAUUUUAACUCCGAAGUGGGAAGGCCAUUAUGCAAACAAAAAUUUUCAUAUGGCCAUGGCAUCCAUGUUGGAUUAAAAAAAAUUGUUUUUUUCACAAAAAACCAAAAAUUAUCUGUAUAUUCUUAGCUUCAAGACCAUGACCAUUAACAUUAGUUGCGUCGUUCUUGUGUUAAAAGCGUUUGAAGGUAGCCAUAUUGAAUUUUUUUUUCGAUUUUUUAAAAAUCAAAUGUGAAAACUUUUUUAUUUUUAUUUCUAAUUUUUCGAAAAAACUUUGGUAAUUUUAUAUACAUAUCUGUUCAACAAUCUUAUCAGGAUCCAUUUAAGACUUUUAUCUGAAAAGUGCAUUGCGUAUAUCUCGAGAUAUUAACAUUUCAAUGCAACCAUGUCAAACAAAUUUUUUAUUAUUUUUUUCUAUGAGAGUUUUUUUCAAACCUCGUUUUCUCCGCUUUUUUUUUUGUUAAUAUUUUCAGAUAUUUCUGUAUGAACACAACAAUUAAACUACCUUGGCACUACUGUUUUUAUCGAGAGAAAGUAAAAUCUGGAUAAUUAUCUGGAUUUUUCAAAAAUCUAUACAGAUAAAGUUUUUGUUGUUUUUAACAAGUAAAUUGUUUUGAUUUCAAAAAUCUCGAUGUCGUUUUUUUGCCCAAAAUCUAUAUAGAUAAACAAAAAAACACACCUAAUAUUUAUGAACUUUAUUGCUAAAAACUAUAAAAAUUAAAAAAAAAAAGUAUAAGCGCAUCCUAGCUAACCUAUGAAAAGUAUAAACACCGCCUAAUUUUCCACCACACAAAUGUAGCUCAAAGGUGAGCAUUUUGACAGAUAAAUAAAAUAAAAAAAAAAAUACAAUUUAUAAUUUUUUGGCGCUGUUCCUAAAAAGUUUAAAGGAUAUAAAAUUUAAUUUCUCUCGAUAGCUUUGCAUUUGCCUUCACCACCCAGGCAUCUCUCUUGGCCAAAUACGAAGCCAAGGAAGGUCAAAUCUACCUCUUCAAACCAUACGAUGACAAGAAGACCUUGUACCAAGGUAAAUCUAACCAAGAAGAUAUUAAGAAAUUCGUUCAAGUCUACUCCCUACGUUUGGUUGUUGACUUCAACCAUCAAUCUGCAUCGAAAAUCUUUGGAGGAUCUGUCAAAUCCCAUAUGUUGUUCUUCGUUUCCAAGGAGAAGGGUAAUGUUGAGAAAUAUGUCGAACCAUUGAAGGAAAUCGCUGGCAACUACCGUGAUGAAGUUCUCUUUGUUACCAUUAGCGCUGAUGAGGAAGAUCAUUCUCAUACCUUUGAAUUCUUCAGUAUGUCCAAGGAUGAAAUUCCAUCAAUCCGUUUUAUCAAAUUGGAAGAAGAUAUGGCCAAAUACAAGCCACCAACCAAUGACUUGAGCCCCGAAGCAGUUAAGAGCUUUGUUGAAGAUUUCAUGGCUGGUAAAUUGAAGCAACAUUUGUUGUCACAAGAAUUGCCAGAAGAUUGGGACAAGUUGGUGUUGUAAUGGUCUGGAACACAAAAUAUAAAAAACAAACACCCGAAGAUGUAUUCCAUUGUCAGAGUGUCGUUAUGUCAACAUGCUUUGCUAAAUUCAAUCAGACGUAUUCCGGUCAAAUUGUAUUAUGGGAUAAUCGAGUGCAAAAGCGCACACCCAUCCAGAGGACACCUCUAAGUGCAACUGCACAUACGCAUCCAGUGUAUUGAUUUGCAAAUGGUUGGCACACAGAAUGCAGACAAUGUGAUAUCGAUCUCAUCCGAUGGCGAGCUUUGCUAAUGGAGUUUGGAUAUGUUGUCGAUGCCGCAAGAUACACUGGAAUUGCAGCAACGGCAAUCGUAGCCAAUUGCUAUCACUUGCAUGUCCUUUCCAUCGAAUGAGAUUAACAAUCUGGUUAUGGGUAGUGAAAAGUGAAGAUGCUUAUCGACAUGGAAUACGUUCGGGAGUGUCUGAAGUCUACGAGAAGCAUUUGGGUCCAGUGACGGGAAUAUCAACUCAUCCAAAUCAAUCUACACCAGAUUGUGGUGAUUUGUUCCUUACAUCGUCCAUUGAUUGAACAAUUAAGUUAUGGAGUUUUAAUGUGAAAUUUAAUAUCUACUAUAACGACCAAUAUGUAUAAAAUUUUUUGUAUUUACUUGUACGACACUAAACCAUUAUAUUCAUUUGAAGAUAAUUCAGAUUAUGUUAUGGAUGUUGCAUGGUCUCCAAUUCAUCCCGCCUUGUUCGCUUCUGUCGACGGCAGAUUUAUGGAAUUUAAAUCAGGAUACCGAAGUGCCCUCGGCAUCGGUGAUUGUUUUUUUUUGUUUUGUGUAUGAUAAUGAAAAUUAGUAAAAGAGUCUUUACUGAGUAGGUACCUACUUAUGAAAAAAAAAAAACAAAAAAUGUUAAAUAAAUAUAUAGGUACCUUGAAUUUUGUCAAAAGCUGAGUAUUUCUUUCUUUGAGUAUGUAAUUUAUUUCUAAAAACUAAUACAAAGUUAUGUGUUGAAUUUUUUAUGGAAACAUUUUGUAAGUCCGAUGUAAAAGUACAGUUCUGAGAUUAUGCAGUGAGGCGCGCACAAAUUAGUUUAUUUAAUUUUCAUAUCGGAUUGGAAACUGGUCAAAUAAAUCUUAAUGAGAAAAAGCAAAACGGAUUACGUUUUAAUUUUGCAAUUUGCAAUUUUGGUUUAUUGAACUUGCUAUUUACAAUUGACUUAAAAUAACUUAUUUCUAAGAUACAUUGAUAGAUACAAAGUUUUGUUGGCGCAAAGGGGGUCUAACGUUAAAUAAUAACGACAAUGUUAUAAAAUAUAACACAUGGAUAAACUUAAUUUAAAAAGUCUGCUGUCUAGGUUGUCCUCGAGGUGUUCAGACCCGGAUGCCCAGGGUUGGUUGAGUUGUGUUGGGAACCAAUAUGUAUUGCCUUAAUUCCCUCUGCUGCAUAACUGUUUAGGAGGUGAAAGUAAUUGCGAAGAAGAUUCAUGCAGAUAUCAUUUUCUCGGGAUCUCGAUGGGGGCUUUAGACCCAUUUGUAGAAGAUAUGUCCUACAGAAACAGGACGACAUCAAUGCAGGCAGAGAACAUCUGAAGAAAAAAUAAGGAAUAUAUCGAACCAAAAAAGGAGAAUCAAUACAAAAUUUACCUGCAACCAAUUGGGGAGCUAAAUGAUGCUCUGAAACAAUUACCACUUUCAAGUUGCCAUUGUUUCCACACUUCACUUUACAUGCACACGUCGUCCAGGUUUAUAGGCAGUAAAGUGAUCUUCUUCUAAAAUGGCUUUUCAUCAAAGGGUCUUGGUUCUGAUACCAUUUACAUAAAGUGAGGGCGAUUUUAGUGAGCUGAAGGAUUUGGGUGUUGAAUGAGCUGCAUAAUGCAAUGUUAGGAUUGUCUUGCUUGUUGCUGUCUGCUGUUUGGGAUAAAAGUAUUUCCUGGGGGAAUAUUUUUCGGGAGGUAUGUUUGUAUUUGCUUUUCUUCGCAGCGCACAUACAUGACGUGUAUCAUUUUAAAAAUGUAUGAGACUGUUUUUGUGGUGGGCGUUCUAAUGAGGCAAUUGAUUAACAACAAGAGCUUUGUUAUCAUUUAUACAUGUUUAUCGUCAAAGAAUAGACGUUUUCGCGAACUAGCGAGUUUUAAUUCAGAAUUGGACCGAUUAUUUAUUAAUUAACAACAUAAUUAUCACUCACACACGUAUUCACGGAUAAGAAAAAAAGAGUAAAAUAAGAGUUCUCUUCUAUUCACCUCAAAUGAAAUUUGCGGGUGUUUUAGGCAAGGGGGGUACGAGUCGGUUCUCUAGGUAUUCCUUCCUCUAUGAUAUAAUACGUCCAUGGUCGAAAUACUUUAUGUAAAUUGUGAAAGCAUAAUAAUUAAGCGUGGUGGAUGAUAUACUUGAUUUGCUAUAUUUGUAAUGAUUGAUAUAUGAACAAAAAAAAGUAUCCCAGAUAGUUGGAAAUCUCCAAACAAAAACAACUUUGAAGUUUUGAUUUUUGUCUGCCAUUCUUAAAUUGUACAUAAAAUGGGGCUAUAAA